GGUGUAUAGCUUAUUGUUAGAGCACUUGCCUACAAUGUAUAAGGUCCUGGGUUCAAUUCCCACCACCA
rnacentral:tRNA from 1 species